rnacentral:tRNA from 1 species
GGAGAAAUACUCAAGUGGCUGAAGAGGCGCCCCUGCUAAGGGUGUAGACCGUUUACGCGGUGCGCGGGUUCAAAUCCCGCUUUCUCCG